rnacentral:rRNA from 1 species
AACGAACGCUGGCGGCAUGCCUAACACAUGCAAGUCGAACGAGGGCUUCGGCCUUAGUGGCGCACGGGUGCGUAACGCGUGGGAACCUGCCCCUCGGUUCGGAAUAACAGUUAGAAAUGACUGCUAAUACCGGAUGAUGACUUCGGUCCAAAGAUUUAUCGCCGAGGGAUGGGCCCGCGUAGGAUUAGCUAGUUGGUGGGGUAAAGGCCUACCAAGGCGACGAUCGGUAGGGGGUGUGAGAGCAUGGCCCCCCCACACGGGUACGUGAGACACGGACCCGGACCUCCUACCGGGAGGGCA